UGGAGGAGCCACCGCCGCCAGAUCCACCGCUGCCGAAGCUCUACGCCGCCUGAGCCGCCGAAAACCGCCACUGAAGUCCUUUUUCCCUGGGGCUGAGUUGUGGUUCUUGCAUGCUGAGUGCAGUACCCGUGCAUGCGACAUCAAGUUACUGCGUCGUCAACGGAGUCACCGCCGUUCCGUUUUCCCGGAUACUCGUUGGGUUUAGUUCUUACGUGCCGUGGUUAAAGUUGCUGUGUUUGCUGUGAAAGAAAUUAGGGCUGAGGCCUAAGUUGCCGUUGAUUUCGGGCUGAGCAAAAAGAGUUCAGUUGACGAGUGUGGGUUAUGGUUUUGCUUAACGAGGAACCGGAAGAAGAAGCAUUAAGAGGUGUUAUACUGCGUUUGGU